rnacentral:rRNA from 1 species
AGUGAACGCUGGCGGUAGGCCUAACACAUGCAAGUCGAACGGCAGCACAGUAAGAGCUUGCUCUUACGGGUGGCGAGUGGCGGACGGGUGAGGAAUACAUCGGAAUCUACUUUUUCGUGGGGGAUAACGUAGGGAAACUUACGCUAAUACCGCAUACGACCUACGGGUGAAAGCAGGGAUCUUCGGACCUUGCGCGAUUGAAUGAGCCGAUGUCGGAUUAGCUAGUUGGGGGGGUAAAGGCCCACCAAGGCGACGAUCCGUAGCUGGUCUGAGAGGAUGAUCAGCCACACUGGAACUGAGACACGGUCCAGACUCCUACGGGAGGCAGCAGUGGGGAAUAUUGGACAAUGGGCGCAAGCCUGAUCCAGCCAUACCGCGUGGGUGAAGAAGGCCUUCGGGUUGUAAAGCCCUUUUGUUGGGAAAGAAAAGCAGCAGGUUAAUACCCCGCUGUUCUGACGGUACCCAAAGAAUAAGCACCGGCUAACUUCGUG